rnacentral:rRNA from 1 species
CCUACGGGGGGCAGCAGUGAGGAAUAUUGGUCAAUGGGCGCUAGCCUGAACCAGCCAAGUAGCGUGAAGGAUGACUGCCCUAUGGGUUGUAAACUUCUUUUAUAUGGGAAUAAAGUGCAGUAUGUAUACUGCUUUGCAUGUACCUUAUGAAUAAGGAUCGGCUAACUCCGUGCCAGCAGCCGCGGUAAUACGGAGGAUCCGAGCGUUAUCCGGAUUUAUUGGGUUUAAAGGGAGCGUAGGCGUGUUGUUAAGUCAGUUGUGAAAGUUUGCGGCUCAACCGUAAAAUUGCAGUUGAUACUGGCAGCCUUGAGUACAGUAGAGGUAGGCGGAAUUCGUGGUGUAGCGGUGAAAUGCUUAGAUAUCACGAAGAACUCCGAUUGCGAAGGCAGCCUGCUGGACUGUAACUGACGCUGAUGCUCGAAAGUGUGGGUAUCAAACAGGAUUAGAUACCCUAGUAGUC